UCGAAAUCGAAGAUGUUUCUGUCGCUACAAGCGCAAAUGAAGUAUUUUAUCCAGUACAGAAUUUUUUCAGUCCUCUCAUUACCACAUCUGAUGAAGGUGGGCUAAAAGCAGUAGGGCUAGAUAUCAUCAGCAUCUAUGGCUUCUGUAAUCGUUUACCACAGCAAUCCUGUUGUCCAUCCCCAAUUCUCAACCACUCCUAGACCUCCUUCCCACCUCUUCAAACCCACAAAAUCCCUCCAUUCGUCUGCUAUUCGUGAACUCUCCUCUUCAUCAUCGUCUUCAUCCACGCUAACCGCUACUCAAUUCAAUCCAAACGCUGAGUCUACGUUUGCCUUCCAACUUGCCCCAAACUUCACAUCAAAAACCCUACUCAGUGCCCUCAGAAGAGAAAAGGACCCACUCAAUUCCCUGAAAAUCUUGCAAUGGGCUACAAGUCAAGAGGAUUACUCUCCCCACCCUUCAGUCUACGAAUUUAUGAUCGAUUGCCUGGGAUCUGCAGGCUAUUUUGAAGAAAUGCGAGAGGUCUUUAGUUUAAUGAGCUUAAAGAAAUGCUACCCCACAACGAGAACCUUCCGCAGCAUGAUGUGGAGCUACACAAAUGCCCACAAGGUGGACGAGGCCCUUGGAGUCCUGAAAGAAAUGGAGGUAAUCCCACUCCAACCCGAUACCCAAUGUUACAAUCAUUUGCUUAAUUUCCUUGUAAAUGAGAAAAAGCUUAACAUGGCAAAGUCACUGUAUGCCCAAAUGAGGUCUGUUGGGGUCGAACCGAACACUAAGACUUUCAAUAUAUUGAUCAAGGGCUUCUGCAAGGCUAACCAGAUGAGUACUGCAUUGGAUUUGUUGGAGCAGAUGUCAUCUAAGCAUGGUUUGAUCCCUAAAAGCGAUACAUAUGACAUUCUCAUUCAAGGGUUUAUUCAAAGGGAUAUGGUAGAAGAGGCCUUGGAAUUAUGGAAGAAAAUGAACUCAAAUGGGUGCAUUCCUAGCCAUAUAACAUGCAAUACCCUUUUACAUGGGUUCUGCAAGCAAGGUAGGGUGGAGGAGGCGACCAUACUUCUGGAGGAGAUGUGUGGAAUUGGGUUUUGCCCUGAUAAAAAGACUUCGAAUAUUCUAAUCAAUGGAUUCUGCAAAGCAGGAGACCCAAACAAGGCGACACACCUGCUUGAGGAAAUGAUGCAGGACGGUUUCAAGCCUGAUGUAUUCACAUAUAAUACUUUGAUUUCAGGUCUGAGCGGAAUAGGAAAGUUCCAAGAGGCAAGAAGGCUUCUGGAUGAAAUGAUUAUGAAGAACUGUGUUCCAGAUGUAGUUACAUAUAAUAGCAUGAUCAAUGCAAUGUGCAAGGAGGGGAAGUUGGAAGAAGCUACUGAGCUUUUCAAUGAUCUGACUAGCAAGGGGCACAAGCCUGAUGUCUAUACUUACAAUACUUUAUUGUAUGGGCUCAGCAAGUAUGGCAAACUCGAUGCGAUGAUGAAGUUCACAGAUGAGAUGCUUGCCAGGGGUUGCAUUCCAGACAAUGUGACUUAUAAUGUGUUGAUGUCGAGGCUAUGCAGGGAGGGAAAAUUGUAUAGAGCAAUGCGUGUCCUGAGACAAAUGCAGGCCAAGGGAUGCCAUCCUGAUUCUGUCACUUAUAACACUGUAAUUGAUGGACUUUGCAAGCGAGGCAGAAUUCAAGAGGCAGAAGUGCUCUUUGAUGAAAUGCAGGCCAAGGGAUGCUAUCCUGAUUCUUGUACUUAUAACACUGUAAUUGAUGGUCUUUGCAAGCGAGGUAGAAUUCAAGAGGCAGAAGUGCUCUUUGAUGAAAUGAUGGAUCGUGGAGUCGAGGCAACUGCGAUAACUUACAAUUCCCUUAUUUAUGGCCUCUGUCAAGCUCAAAGAGUUGAAGAAGCAACCGAGCUUGUUGAUGAGAUGAUUGUUAAGGGACUCGUUCCUGAUGAAGUAACAUUCAAUAGCAUCCUUGGAGCUUUUUGUACUAAGGGUAACAUAGGCAAGGCCACAGAUAUAGUCCAGAUGAUGAUUUCCAAUGGUUGCGAGCCAGAUGCCAUUACAUAUGGCAUUCUGAUUAAUGGGCUCUGCAAAACUGGCAGAUAUAAGCCUGCCCUCAAGAUCUUGCAAACAAUGCCCAUGAAAGGGAUGAUUCCUGAAGCAGAAGCCUAUAAUCCCAUCUUUCAAUGUCUUUGCAGGCAGUACAAGAUACAAGAAGCUAUGGUGAUCUACAGAGAGAUGUUGCAGAAAGGUGUUACCCCAAAUGCUGUGACAUACAAAAUUCUUUUCAGAGGACUCUGCCAUGGAGGAGGUCCUAUUGGAGAAGCAAUAGAAUUUCUUGAAAAUAUGAUGGAGAAGGGUUUCCUUCCAUACAUGUCAACUUUUAUGGAACUUGUUGAGGCUCUGUAUUUAUUAGGAAGGGUGAAUACUAUAGUGAGACUGGUAAAUUUGGCUAUGCAGAAAGUCUGUUUAGAAGAGGAAAAAAAGGCUAUGGUGAAUGGAUUUCUGAAGAUAGGUAAGGUACAGGAUGCCAUGAUUAUCUUGGGCCAAUUGCUGGAUAAAAAUUAAUGCACGAGCUUCAAUUUGAUAUGCAACUCUAAUACCAAAGUCCUGACGAAAAGGAAACAAUUUAAUGAAAUUCUCUUCGUUAGAAUUUGGUGCCACCCUAGAAAGCCCCUGCUUGGUAUCAACAAGGCACUUAGUCGGAGGGAGUUGAGAUAUAAAAGGUUAUAUCUUUCCUAUUGGAAGAUUGUUUGCAAUAAUUAUGGGAACAUUGACGUGUAUAUACUGACAAAUGAUAAGUCAAACAUAAGAGAAACAGGGUUCAUUUAAGUUCAUUUAUUUGGUAACAGGGUUCUUUCAUAGUCACUAAACGAAAGUGAUCCAUAGCUUACCUAAAAAAGUCCAUGUUAAAUAUGACAUACAAUUCCUAUUGAGUUGCUGAGCAUUAUCGUGAAGAAACCUGAGACUGGAAUUUGUUCUUGAAUUCAAAUUCCAUGAUGUUGGUCGAGAAAUCAAAUAGUUUACAGUGGCCUGCUCGUCAUGUCUUUGGAUGGGGUACACGGCAGAAGUAUCGAACAUCAAGUGUGGCAUUUAUAUUUUGGGAGCCAAAAUAUUGCCCAAAUAAAUUAGACGGGAAGGACACAAUGUUAUGGAUGUAGGUAUACAUAUAGUAUAUGCAAUUGCAUAUUUUAUUAAGGAUGCAAAUUACACUUUCCUAUAUGAAUGUUGUUAGGUAACGAAGUCAUGUCAAAUUAUUCUU